GAAGCUGGAUAAGGGCACACGGAGGAUGCCUAGGCGGUGGAAGCCGAAGAAGGACGUGCUAAGCUGCGAAAAGCCCGGGGGAGGUGCACAGGACCUGUGAUACCGGGAUAUCCGAAUGGGAGAACCUGCAUACCUGGAGGGUAUGCGCGAGAGAGGUAAGCCGGCGAACUGAAACAUCUAAGUAGCCGGAGGAAAAGAAAGUAAAAACGAUUCCCUGAGUAGCGGCGAGCGAACGGGGAGGAGCCUAAACCGUAUAUGUGUUAAAGCUGGCGGCGUUGCAUAUACGGGGUAGAGGGAACAUACUGGACUGACGCCAUAAGGUCGGGUAUAUCAUGAUGUAAGCGGAACGCGGCUGGAAAGCCGGACCGUAGGAGGUGAGAGUCCUGUAGAGCGUAAAGUCAUGAUAGCCUGUAUGAGAUCCCGAGUAGCAUCGGACACGAGGAAUCCGGUGUGAAUCAGCGUGGACCAUAUCACGUAAGGCUAAAUACUUCCACCGACCGAUAGAGGAGAGUACCGUGAGGGAAAGGUGAAAAGAACCCUGAGCAAGGGAGUGAAAUAGAAUUUGAAACCGUGUGCUUACAAGCGGUAGGAGCCCUUAGGGGUGACUGCGUGGAUUUUGGUUAAUCAUCCUGCGAGUUAUGAUGUGUGGCGAGGUUAAGUAGAAGCGGAGCCGAAGGGAAACCGAGUCUUAAUAGGGCGCAAGUCGCAUGUCAUAGACGCGAAACCUAGUGAUCUAGGCCUGUCCAGGCUGAAGCUGAGGUAAGACUCAGUGGAGGGCCGAACUCACCGCCGUUGAAAAGUUGGGAGAUGAGAUAGGUCUAGGGGUGAAAAGCCAAUCGAACUAGGAGAUAGCUCGUUCUCUCCGAAAUGCAUUUAGGUGCAGCCUUGGUUGAAGAUAUGCGGGGGUAGAGCACUGUAUGGCCUAGGGGGCGUAUAGCUUACCGAAGUCAAGCAAACUGCGAAUACCGUAUAUUGUUUACCGGGAGUGAGUCUACGGAUGACAAGGUCCGUGGACGAGAGGGGAACAGCCCAGACCGCCAGCUAAGGUCCCUAAUUAUGUCUAAGUGGGAAAGGAGGUGGAUAUUCACAGACAACCAGGAGGUUGGCUUAGAAGCAGCCAUACCUUGAAAGAGUGCGUAAUAGCUCACUGGUCGAGAGUAUCUGCGCCGAAGAUAUAACGGGGCUAAGACAUGAACCGAAGCCGCGGAAGCGUGGAAACACGUUUGGUAGGAGAGCGUUCUGUAGGCCGUAGAAGGUGUUCUGGAAGGGAUGCUGGAGGUAUCAGAAGUGAGAAUGCAGGAAUGAGUAGCGAGAAGGAGGGCGAGAAUCCCUCCGGCCGGAAGUCCAAGGUUUCCAGGGGAAGGUUUGUCCGCCCUGGGGGAGUCGGGACCUAAGCAUAAGCAGAGCUGCGAAGGCGAAUGGAAAACAGGUUAAUAUUCCUGUACCGCUGUGUACUGACUGAGAGAUGGAGUGACGCAGGAAGGUAUGCGGGAAGGCUGACGGAAUAGCCUUUCUAAGGGUGAAGCGUGGACAUAUAGGCAAAUCCGUAUGUUUAAACGUGAGGCCUGAUGGGUAAGUGCAUUAUGGCAUAAGCCGCAGAUCCUACACUGCCGAGAAAAACUUCUAUUUAGGGAAACAGUGCCCGUACUGUAAACCGACACAGGUGGACAGAGUGAGAAACUUAAGGCCGACAGGACAACUCUGGCUAAGGAACUCUGCAAAAUGGCCCCGUAACUUCGGGAGAAGGGGUGCCCGUGUUAACUGAAGAGAGAGACACUUGGAGGUGAAGCGGGUCGCAGUGAAGAGUCCCAAGCAACUGUUUACCAAAAACACAGGUCUAUGCUAAGCUGGAAGGCGACGUAUAUGGGCUGACACCUGCCCAGUGCCGGAAGGUUAAGAGGAGGAUUGAGAGAUUCGAAUUGAAGCCCCGGUGAACGGCGGCCGUAACUAUAACGGUCCUAAGGUAGCGAAAUUCCUUGUCGGGUAAGUUCCGACCUGCACGAAUGGUGAAAUGAUUUGGGAGCUGUCUUGGCCGGAGACCUGGUGAAGUUGUAAUGCCGGUGAAGAUACCGGUUACCUGCAGUAGGACGGAAAGACCCCGUGGAGCUUUACUGUAGCCUGGCAUUGGGUUUCGGCAAUGAGUGUAUAGGAUAGCUGGGAGGCAAUGAAGAUAUGGCGUCAGCUGUAUUGGAGCCGCUGUUGGAAUACCAGCCACGCAUUGUUGGGAUUCUAAUCUCAUAAGAUGGGAGACAGUGCUAGGUGGGCAGUUUGACUGGGGCGGUCGCCUCCAAAAGAGUAACGGAGGCGUUCAAAGGUUCCCUCAGGCUGGAUGGAAAUCAGCCGGAGAGUGCAAACGCAGAAGGGAGCUUGACUGCGAGACUGACGGGUCGAGCAGGCACGAAAGUGGGAGUUAGUGAUCCGGCGGUUCUGAAUGGAAAGGCCGUCGCUCAACGGAUAAAAGCUACCCCGGGGAUAACAGGCUGAUACUUCCCAAGAGUCCAUAUCGACGGAAGUGUUUGGCACCUCGAUGUCGGCUCGUCUCAUCCUGGGGCUGGAGAAGGUCCCAAGGGUUGGGCUGUUCGCCCAUUAAAGAGGCACGCGAGCUGGGUUCAGAACGUCGUGAGACAGUUCGGUCCCUAUCCAUCGUGGGCGUAGGAAAUUUGAGAGGAGCUGUCCUUAGUACGAGAGGACCGGGAUGGACAGACCGCUGGUGUAUCAGUUAUCAUGCCAAUGGUAAUGCUGAAUAGCUAAGUCUGGAAGGGAUAAGUGCUGAAGGCAUCUAAGCACGAAGCCCCCCUCAAGAUGAGAUUUCCUGUUGCAGCAAUGCAAGAGAGAUUCGAUACAGAAAAUGUCGUAGAUAGGUCAGAGGUGUAAAGGUGGCAACAUCAAAGCUAACUGAUACUAAUAAAUCGAAAGCUUGACCAG
rnacentral:rRNA from 1 species